GCCCGGCUAGCUCAAUCGGUAGAGCGUGAGACUCUUAUGAGAGAGAUCUCCAACAUCUCAAGGUUGUGGGUUCGACCCCCACGUCGGGCU
rnacentral:tRNA from 1 species